rnacentral:rRNA from 1 species
UAAUAUAUCGGAACGUACCCUGGAGUGGGGGAUAACGUAGCGAAAGUUACGCUAAUACCGCAUACGAUCUAAGGAUGAAAGUGGGGGGAUCGCAAGACCUCAUGCUCCUGGAGCGGCCGAUAUCUGAUUAGCUAGUUGGUAGGGUAAAGGCCUACCAAGGCAUCGAUCAGUAGCUGGUCUGAGAGGACGACCAGCCACACUGGAACUGAGACACGGUCCAG